rnacentral:lncRNA from 1 species
UACAAAAGGAAUUUGGUUUUCUCUGGCUUCCUGGGACUCCCCGUGCCCUUAAACUGCAGUCGGCAGCGGAGUUCAGACUAACUGCUUUCGUUCCCAUUUCUGGUCUUCAGGCCUGUCUGUCACAACGAGCUAAACCCAAACAAACCAUUCCAGGGGCCCCCAUAAAGCCACGUGAGAGCUAUGACAGGAAGAGAGUGGUUUCAGAAACUACUUUGAAGGGACCAGAGUAAUCUCUUUAGCCCAGAGCCCUGAAGAUCCUGUUGCCAGAAGUACGGAUAUGAUAGCUCAAUUCCCCCGCACUCAAGCUUCUUCCUCCUCCUCCUCUUGCUUCCAAAUAAAUAGCUCUCUGGGGCAGUGAUGUCUACAUCAAAAGCCACUUGUCACUCAGUGGCCUUCCCAGAUGGGAAAGUGUUUGUUUUGGCUGAGAAUGACAAUUUUCUCUGCAUCCGGAGGUGGACUCUCUCGCAGGCCUAAGCAGGGUAAGGUUGCAGCUGCCAGUUCUUCCCAGCUGCCAUCCCCCAGAAAGGUCAGAGGAAGUAAAGACAAUGAAGGCCGGCUUCCCCAGAGCAUGCGUGCAUAGGCACAAACGCACGAACCUAGAACUGGAGACUCCCAAAACGGAGCAGAACCUGCUGGCUGAGAAGGCCUUUAAUCUCAUCUCUGGAGUCUAGUUAGCAACAUCAGUGCUUGGCAAACUCUGAGAUCUUGAUAGAGGGUGAGUACACACAUGGAGAUCAGAGGACAAUUUGUGGAGAGCCCUUGCUUGCCCAUUUUGUUGCGGCAAGGUCUUGUUUCUGACACAGAGCAGGGUAGUACCCGACUAGCUGGUAGUUCACACGCUUCUAGAUGAUUCUCUUGUCUGCACCUCCCUUCUUGUUAUAGGAGGAAUGGGAUAAUGGAUACCUGCCUCUACAAUCAAGCUUUUAGGUCAGUUCUAGGAAUUGAACUACAAACAACAGUAACAACAGACACCACUCGUGAGGAAACAAACCAGAAUAAGGACAGACAGACAGAAAUAUGGAAGGAAAGAAAAACAUUGACAGAACACAAGAAACACACACAUACAAACAAAAUCCACAAAAACACGGAAUCAGAAGAUAUAAUAUGCAAGAAAAAGACAACUAAGAUAAAAGGUGCCCUAACAAAGCAAUAUGGAACGAACAAACAAACAAACAACAAAUAAAAAAUCAAGUUUUGUGUUUGUGUGUUCGCCAUCUACUCCUGAGCAUGGGGUGGGGGUGCCCUUAAAUGUGCCUUAUAUAUCUAGUGAGACUCCAUUGAAGAAAAUGAAUUGUUAUCGAUCACUUCUGGGUUAGAUCCAUUUCCCUUCUCACUAUUGGACUCUGUCUAGCUUGAAGCUGUGCAGACCCUAUGCAUGCCUCCAUGCAUUAUUCUGUGUGUCCAUGGCUUUUUCCUUUCAACUAUCAGGUGACAGUCCAUUGUAUGAAUGCAGCAUAGUUUCCAGUGUUCAUUCACUUUUUCUUUUUUAAGCUGGUAGACAAAAACAAAUUGUGCCCAUUACUUGGGUACCGUGAGUUAUCUGAUACAUGUGCAUAUUGUGCUGGGAUCAAAUGACAUUAAGGAAAUGUAUCUCAUUAAACAGCCAUUACUUCCUUAUGGAGAAAGCAUUUGAAAUAUUUUCUUGCAGCUUUUUGUUUUUUCCCUUUUGGAAUAGUACAUUGUAUGUAACCUAUCAUCGAUAGCAACAGUUACAGUCCUCAUCAUCUUUUGAUGAACUCUGUGGCUUCCAGUUUAAUGUUUCAAUAGGUAAGAUGGCCGGGAGCACUCACAGGGAGCACUCACACACACACACAAAGUUUAGUUAGAUGUAUGCCUUCUUUUCUCCUGGUAAACACAUAACAGUAGAUAGAAUAGGCUUCCAGAGUGGGUGUUAACUGAGCUUUUUAGGGCUUGUGAUCGUUUGUAUAUGCUUGGCCCAGGGAGUGGCACAAUUAGAAGGUGUGGCCCUGUUGGAGUAGGUGUGUCACUGUGGGUGUGGGCUUUAAAACCCUCAUUCUAGCUGCCUAGAAGCCAGUAUUCUGCUCGCAGCCUUCAGAUGAAGAUGUAGAACUCUCAGCUCCUCUUGUACCAUGCCUGCCUGGAUGCUGCCAUGUUCCCACCUUAAUAAUAACAGACUGGACCUCUGAACCUGUAACCCAGCACCAAUUAA